UGGGGAAUAUUGGACAAUGGGGGAAACCCUGAUCCAGCAAUGCCGCGUGAGUGAAGAAGGCCUUAGGGUUGUAAAGCUCUUUCGCCCGCGAAGAUAAUGACGGUACCUGGAUAAGAAGCCCCGGCUAACUCCGUGCCAGCAGCCGCGGUAAUACGGAGGGGGCUAGCGUUGUUCGGAAUUACUGGGCGUAAAGCGCACGUAGGCGGCUAUCCAAGUUGGGGGUGAAAUCCCUGGGCUUAACCCAGGAACUGCCUUCAAAACUGGAUGGCUAGAGUCCGAGAGAGGUGAGUGGAAUUUCCAGUGUAGAGGUGAAAUUCGUAGAUAUUGGAAAGAACACCAGUGGCGAAGGCGGCUCACUGGCUCGGUACUGACGCUGAGGUGCGACAGCGUGGGGAGCAAACA
rnacentral:rRNA from 1 species